rnacentral:rRNA from 1 species
UACAGAGGCCUCAAGCGUUGUUCGGAAUCACUGGGCGUAAAGGGUGCGUAGGCGGCGCGGAAAGUCAGGGGUGAAAUCCCGGAGCUCAACUCCGGGAACUGCCUUUGAUACUCCCGCGCUUGAGAACUGGAGGGGACAUCGGAAUUCACGGUGGAGCAGUGAAAUGCGUGGAUAUCGUGAGGAACACUAGUGGCGAAGGCGGCCAACUGGUCCAGAUCUGACGCUGAGGUGCGAAAGCGUGGGGAGCAAACAGG